UACGUAGGGUGCGAGCGUUAAUCGGAAUUACUGGGCGUAAAGCGUGCGCAGGCGGUUAUGCAAGACAGAUGUGAAAUCCCCGGGCUCAACCUGGGAACUGCAUUUGUGACUGCACGGCUAGAGUGUGUCAGAGGGGGGGUAGAAUUCCACGUGUAGCAGUGAAAUGCGUAGAUAUGUGGAGGAAUACCGAUGGCGAAGGCAGCCCCCCUGGGAUAACACUGACGCUCAUGCACGAAAGCGUGGGGGAGCAAACAGG
rnacentral:rRNA from 1 species